UUUUAUUACAGUCAUUUUGCCGUGUAACAGCAGUUGUGCAAUUAUAACGUCUAAAUUACCACAGUCGACUGCAGUUCCUGCACUUUUACUGUAGUAAUGAAAAACAUGUAAGGGCCUCCAGUCCAGCAGGUGUCGAUAAACUCCGAAAUACGCCGUGCAGACCAACAACAUCAUAGUGAGUGUGUCAUUGCCGAUCUUUCGGUUUACUACAGUACACUCAGUUUGUAAUGAUAAUUUCUAGUUGCUAGAAAUAUAAUUUUGAAAAUACAGCCUUUAAGAGUGUUUCUGAGCGAGCGACUAACAGUGGUCGCUGUGGAGAUACACGCUGUGGUUGAAAAAACGAUAGCCGAGUAUCAGGCAGAUGUUUCCCUUUCAUAGGGGGAGAUCCGGCGUUUACGGAUGCUGCUGAAAUUGCAAAGAGCAGACCCCCAGCUUCUCACUCUGCCCGCCGUGGAUAAUCGCCCUGCGCUGCUGGUGCAUGAGCAGAUGUGUCUGGGCCAGAAGGACCCAGAGCCCUUACAGAAUACAGGGGAAAAAGAGCUCAGUCAGGACAAUGAGCAGUUUCAAGAAUUGCAGACUGACAUCAAAGAGUUUGUCAUAGUCACUUUUCUCAUAGAGAUGAUUGAAUAUGACCAGGAGGACCCCACUCAGCCUUCACAUCUUUACCAAGCCCCAAUUGAGGAAAAUGUAGAGAUGGAUACACUACACAGCGACUCGUAUGAACAGAUUGAUACAGGGUCUGAUGGAGAGGGCAAUGUAGAAUCAGAACCAACAACCAGAAACUACUGUUUUGCAGCUCUGGAUGUAAGCUGUGAAAGGAUGGAGAAUGGAGGAGAAAGAUCCCAUCAGAAGUCAACUGCUCAAGGUCAUUCGGGUCCACGUUGUAAGGUUAGCGUGAGUGACGACGAUGAGGCAUUCGAGAGACAAAUAACUGUCCUGGAGAAAGAAAACAGAAGGCUGGAGAAGGACCAGUAUCAGCACCAGUAUUGGAACCGAGCAUCCAAAACAGACUGA
rnacentral:lncRNA from 1 species